rnacentral:lncRNA from 1 species
GAAUUUUAAUAUUUAUUAAUUUUAGUUUUCUGCUGACACAACAUCUUUGUAUGUGUAAGACUGGAAGACGCCGCACCACACGACACAGAUUACCAAAGAGGUUUUCCACUUUAUUACGAAAGGCUGUGUGUUUAUAUAGGUCUAAGGAGAGGUAGCAGGGCUGAGGUAGAUAACGGGUCGCCCGUUUAUUGGCAAGCUCUUCCAUUUGUCAGUUCUGGAGCCCAAGAAGUUAAUUCUAAUUGGGGCUAAGGCUUCCCACCAGCAGGGUUUGAACAUUGGCGCCGGCGGGAACGUUUCGCGCCAGUGAAAGAAACAAAGAGGGGAAAGAGGGUCGUUAGACACCAUGUUGGGGUUUUUUUUCUGGGGUGCUGCCGCCGUUAUAUGUUUUCCCAACAGUAUGUGGUGCUGAGGAUCGAACCCGGGCCUCACGCAUGCCAGACAGCGCGCUACCGCUUGAGCCACAUCCCCAGCCCCUAAAAUAUUUCUUAAUUUUCUAGACACUCCCAGGUCUUUAAUGCUGAACAAUUGGAAUAGGAUUUCUAUCUGAAGGAGUUUUUGAAAUAAAAGGCUUAUGUUACAUGUUUUCAUAUUACUGAUUUUGAAAGCUAUACCUGGUAACGCUUUUAACAGCCAUAUAUAAAAGAGCACAUGUAAACUACAUUUUCAUAAUAAAAUUAAAUAGCCAGAUUUCGAGGACACCAGAGGAAGUCAGCCUAGUUUAGAUCUUCUUGAAGAGUUUACAAUUUAACCUGAUAUGUGAUGUGCUUAUUGGUCGGUGAUACUUGUUACUGUCUUAGAAUUGUUUAGUUCAUGAUGGCUUGAUUGCUUUAAGUCUUAUAUAAAGCAAACUAAGGAACGGUACUUUGCUUUUUGAAAUUGCUCAAAUGAUAAUUACAGAUGUUUUCUGACCCUGGUCCUUAUUUUCUUCAUCUUUGGAGUGACUUUUUUUUUUUUUAAAGCAGAAUCUGUC